rnacentral:rRNA from 1 species
GACGAACGCUGGCGGCGUGCUUAACACAUGCAAGUCGAACGAGAAUCGGUGGAUAGAGGCUUCGGCCAAUUGAAAUCGAGGACAGUGGCGGACGGGUGAGUAACGCGUGAGGAACCUGCCUUUCAGAGGGGGACAACAGUUGGAAACGACUGCUAAUACCGCAUAACGCAUAGGGGUCGCAUGAUUCUUAUGCCAAAGAUUUAUCGCUGAAAGAUGGCCUCGCGUCUGAUUAGCUAGUUGGUGAGGUAACGGCCCACCAAGGCGACGAUCAGUAGCCGGACUGAGAGGUUGAACGGCCACAUUGGGACUGAGAUACGGCCCAG